rnacentral:sRNA from 1 species
AAUCAGAUGCAUGACCGUAAAUAUAAUGUUUUGGACCUUUUAUUUAUCUUGUAUGUAUUUUUAAAAUUUGGUUUACAUUACUUCGGUUAAUAAAUACUAUAACAGGAAUAUCUAUAAACAGAGUCAUGACUCAUAAUGCAUUUCACAAUGUCAAAGCUGAACGUUGAGAUAAAUUUAUCAAUAGCACUAAAUAUUAAUCCGCGGUAUACCGCGGGUCUAUAUUUUCAUUAAAUAAAAAAUAAUUGAAUAUUUCUUAGGAUGACUUAAUAAAUUUCUGCUAUUGUUUGAUUUAAAUGUAUAAUUCACCGCGAGACAAAAUUUUAUAACUCAAAUUUUAAAGUUUUAAGUUGUAUUUGUUUAUUUUGUUAAAUGUUUAAUAUUGUAUAAUUGUAUUUUGAUUGUUGUUUCUCGGAUUUCACCCGUAGUACACCAUCCCAUAUUAAUAUCGAAUCAAACCCGUCAAUUCUAGGAUUUCACCUGUGGUAGUAUUUAAUUGUAUAAUAAUAACUUGAUUGUCAUUCUAGGAUUUCACUCCUAGUUCUAUCGCAAAUUAUUAUCAACUCAAACCAGUCAAUUCUAAAAUUUCACCCGUUGUACACCAUCCCAUAUUAAUAUCGAAUCAAGCCCGUCAAUUCUAGGAUUUCACCCGUGGUAGUAUUUAAUUGUAUAAUUAUAUUUUAAUUGUCAUUCUAGAAUUUUACUCCUAAUUCUAUCGCAAAUUAUUAUCAACCUAAACCAGUCAAUUCUAAAAUAUCACCCGUAGUACACCAUCCCAUAUUAAUAUCGAUUCAAACUCGUCAAUUCUAGGAUUUCACCCGUGGUAGUAUUGCGAGAGAAAUCUUAUAAAAGAAUCGAAAUGUGUUUUAAAAAAAUUAAAGUUUUAAGUAUUUUUU